rnacentral:misc_RNA from 1 species
UCUCCGUUGGUGAACCAGCGGAGGGAUCAUUACCGAGUUUACAACUCCCAAACCCCUAUGUGAGCGUUACCAAACUGUUGCCUCGGCGGGAAAUUCAUGCCCCGGGCGCGUCGCAGCCCCGGACCAAGGCGCCCGCCGGAGGACCAACCAAAACUCUUUUGUAUGUCCCUCGCGGACUUUUAUAAUUCUGAACCAUCUCGGCGCCCCUAGCGGGCGUUUCGAAAAUGAAUCAAAACUUUCAACAACGGAUCUCUUGGUUCUG